AUUGAACGCUGGCGGCAUGCCUUACACAUGCAAGUCGAACGGUAACAGGUCUUCGGAUGCUGACGAGUGGCGAACGGGUGAGUAAUACAUCGGAACGUGCCUAGUAGUGGGGGAUAACUACCCGAAAGAGUGGCUAAUACCGCAUGAGAUCUACGGAUGAAAGCAGGGGAUCGCAAGACCUUGUGCUACUAGAGCGGCCGAUGGCAGAUUAGGUAGUUGGUGGGAUAAAAGCUUACCAAGCCGACGAUCUGUAGCUGGUCUGAGAGGACGAUCAGCCACACUGGGACUGAGACACGGCCCAGACUCCUACGGGAGUCAGCAGUGGGGAAUUUUGGACAAUGGGCGAAAGCCUGAUCCAGCAAUGCCGCGUGCAGGAUGAAGGCCUUCGGGUUGUAAACUGCUUUUGUACGGAACGAAAAGCCCCGGGUUAAUACCCUGGGGUCAUGACGGUACCGUAAGAAUAAGCACCGGCUAACUACGUGCCAGCCGCCGCGGUAA
rnacentral:rRNA from 1 species